rnacentral:rRNA from 1 species
CUCAGCUCCUCUUUAGGUUUUCAAAACAGUUUUGCAGUAGCUAGUAGUGGCCGGAGUGGCGGUCUGUGUAUUUUUUGGAAGGCGGAUGUUAAUCUGGUAAUAAAGAAUUUCUCGCAAUAUCACAUAGACUCCUGGAUAUCUGAACUAGGGUCUGAAUAAUGGCGCCUCACAUGCUUUUAUGGUGAGGCAAAUCGGAGCUUGAGAUACAAAACAUGGGAUACCAUGAAAAUGUUGAGGGGAGAAAGCAUGUUACCGUGGCUCUGCAUGGGCGACUUCAAUGAGAUACUUCUCCAGGAAGAGCAGAUGGGCCCUAAUCCGCGGGAUAGCGCUCAAAUGGAGGGGUUUAGGGAGGCGGUGGAUGUAUGUGAGCUUGCGGAUUUGGGCAUACUGGCUUAGACUAGACCUUUGAGAAACGUGUGACAGGUGGCCAGUUCUGUAGGGUUCGGCUGGACCGGGCUCUAG